AGCCCUGCAUGUCUCAGUAUAUGUCUUACACGACGAAACUGCGAACGGCUCAUUAAAACAGUUAUAGUUUAUCUGAUGGUCAACUGUUACAUGGAUAACCGUGGUAAUCCUGGAGCUAAUACAUGCGUUAAGACCCGACUUUUCGGACGGGUUGUAUUUAUUAGAUACAGAACCAAUGCCUUCUGGCCUUUGGUGAUUCAUAAUAAACGAACGGAGCGCAUCACUUCGUGGCGCUGUAUCAUUCAAGUUUCUGACCUAUCAGCUUUCGACGGUAGGGUAUUGGCCUACCGUGGCAUUGACGGGUAACGGAGAAUUAGGGUUCGAUUCCGGAGAGGGAGCCCGAGAAACGGCUACCACAUCUACGGAAGGCAGCAGGCGCGCAAAUUACCCAAUCCCGAUACGGGGAGGUAGUGACAAGAAGUAACAAGGCGGGUGGCUAGUCCAUUUCGCAUUGGAAUGAGUAGACUUUAAAUCUCUUUUCGACUAUCAAUUGGAGGGCAG
rnacentral:rRNA from 1 species